CCGCUCCGUGUGUACAGACCUUGCGGCUGUACAGAAGGUGAUCGAGGAGGAGGAGGAAGAGGAGUCGGAGGGUUGGUCCUCCUUCUCAGAAGCUGCUGAAAAAUUUGUUGUUAGGCCCCGUUUGUUAGACAAGGUGGGAUCUUCCUCCGGGACUUUGAAGCGUGAAGCCGAAGAUGAUCUGGAGGCCAGAUUGGCACCGCCACCAAAGAGAAAGUGCACUGUCACUGUGAAGCAAAUAGUGAAGAAGCCGCC
rnacentral:lncRNA from 1 species